rnacentral:rRNA from 1 species
GGAGAAAAGUAGGGGAUCGAAAGACCUUAUGCUUUUGGAGCGGCCGAUGUCUGAUUAGCUAGUUGGUAAGGUAAAGGCUUACCAAGGCAACGAUCAGUAGUUGGUCCGAGAGGACGACCAGCCACACUGGGACUGAGACACGGCCCAGACUCCUACGGGAGGCAGCAGUGGGGAAUUUUGGACAAUGGGCGCAAGCCUGAUUCAGCAAUGCCGCGUGAGUGAAGAAGGCCUUCGGGUUGUAAAGCUCUUUCAGUCGAGAAGAAAAGAUCGUGACUAAUAAUCAUGAUUCAUGACGGUAUCGACAGAAGAAGCACCGGCUAACUACGUGCCAGCGGCCGCGGUAAUACGCAGGGUGCAAGCGUUAAUCGGAAUUACUGGGCGUAAAGGGUGCGCAGGCGGUUCUGCAAGUCAGAUGUGAAAUCCC